CCUACGGGAGGCAGCAGUGGGGAAUCUUGCGCAAUGGGCGAAAGCCUGACGCAGCAACGCCGCGUGCGGGAAGAAGGCUUUCGGGCUGUAAACCGCUUUCAGCAGGAACGAAAAUGACGGUACCUGCAGAAGAAGGAGCGGCCAACUAUGUGCCAGCAGCCGCGGUGAUACAUAGGCUUCAAGCGUUGUCCGGAUUUAUUGGGCGUAAAGAGUUCGUAGGCGGUCGAGUAAGUCGGGUGUGAAAAUUCUGGGCUCAACCCAGAGACGCCACCCGAUACUGCUUGACUUGAGUUCGAUAGGGGAGUGGGGAAUUCCUAGUGUAGCGGUGAAAUGCGCAGAUAUUAGGAGGAACACCGGUGGCGAAGGCGCCACUCUGGAUCGAUACUGACGCUGAGGAACGAAAGCAUGGGUAGCAAACAGGAUUAGAUACCCUGGUAGUCCAUGCCGUAAACGGUGGGCACUAGGUGUGGGUUUCUAUUAACGAAAUCCGCGCCGUCGCUAACGCAUUAAGUGCCCCGCCUGGGGGAGGUACGGUCGCAGACUAAACUACAAGAAUAGACGCGNGAGACGUGCCGAGCGACGACGAGGGAGAGG
rnacentral:rRNA from 1 species